rnacentral:rRNA from 1 species
GACGAACGCUGGCGGCGUGCCUAAUACAUGCAAGUCGAACGCUUCUUUUUCACCGAACUUCGGUUCAUCGAAAAAGAGGAGUGGCGAACGGGUGAGUAACACGUGGGUAACCUGCCCAUCAGAAGGGGAUAACACUUGGAAACAGGUGCUAAUACCGUAUAAUGCUUUUUCUCGCAUGAGAGCAAGCUGAAAGGCGCUUUUGCGUCACUGAUGGAUGGACCCGCGGUGCAUUAGCUAGUUGGUGAGGUAACGGCUCACCAAGGCCACGAUGCAUAGCCGACCUGAGAGGGUGAUCGGCCACACUGGGACUGAGACACGGCCCAGACUCCUACGGGAGGCAGCAGUAGGGAAUCUUCGGCAAUGGACGAAAGUCUGACCGAGCAACGCCGCGUGAGUGAAGAAGGUUUUCGGAUCGUAAAAACUCUGG